CAACUUUCAACAACGGAUCUCUUGGCUCUCGCAUCGAUGAAGAACGCAGCGAAAUGCGUUAAGUAAUGUGAAUUGCAGAAUUCAGUGAAUCAUCGAAUCUUUGAACGCACCUUGCGCCCCUUGGUAUUCCGAGGGGCAUGCCUGUUUGAGUGUCAU
rnacentral:rRNA from 1 species